GUUCUGUUUGCUUGCAAACUUUGUCCGAGAAGUUAGAAAAGCUUGUUAUGGUGUUCAAAAGGCAGGCAUGUUGCUGCCCAAACCACGAGGCUUGGUGUGGCAGUAAGCCUUCAGAUGUGGAACAGAGGUCCCUGAGAAAGGCGAACAGAGUAGAGAAAGUUUUCUUGGAGCUAGAUGACAAAGGCAAAAAGGGCUGGUCUAGAAGCAUUUGUACAUACUGUCGACAGCGAGUCGAUUUGGAGCUUGGAAACAAACGCAUGAAAACUUCACACGAGAGCUGUAGAGAUGAAACUCCCUCAAGUUCCAGCGUGUUUUUCCAACCGGAAACCUCUGAGACCAGCGCGCUGAAGCCGCGUUAGAACCAUUCCAGGUAAAAAAUUCAUAGGUCAAUAAGUACUUGAGAGACAAAUAAUUGGUUCAGAAGGGAA